AUUGAACGCUGGCGGCAUGCCUUACACAUGCAAGUCGAACGGCAGCACGGGUGCUUGCACCUGGUGGCGAGUGGCGAACGGGUGAGUAAUACAUCGGAACAUGUCCUGUAGUGGGGGAUAGCCCGGCGAAAGCCGGAUUAAUACCGCAUACGAUCCACGGAUGAAAGCGGGGGACCUUCGGGCCUCGCGCUAUAGGGUUGGCCGAUGGCUGAUUAGCUAGUUGGUGGGGUAAAGGCCUACCAAGGCGACGAUCAGUAGCUGGUCUGAGAGGACGACCAGCCACACUGGGACUGAGACACGGCCCAGACUCCUACGGGAGGCAGCAGUGGGGAAUUUUGGACAAUGGGCGAAAGCCUGAUCCAGCAAUGCCGCGUGUGUGAAGAAGGCCUUCGGGUUGUAAAGCACUUUUGUCCGGAAAGAAAUCCUGGGCUCUAAUACAGUCGGGGGAUGACGGUACCGGAAGAAUAAGCACCGGCUAACUACGUG
rnacentral:rRNA from 1 species